rnacentral:rRNA from 1 species
GACGAACGCUGGCGGCGUGCCUAAUACAUGCAAGUCGAACGCAGUGGGGACGGGUGAGUAACACGUGGGUAACCUCCCAUCAGAGGGGAUAACACUUGGAAACAGGUGCUAAACCCCUAUUGAUGGAUGUACCCGCGGUGCAUUAGCUAGCUGGUGAGGUAACGGCUCACCAAGGCGACGAUGCAUACCGGACAGGAGAGGGGGAUCGGCCAAACGGGGACUGAGAAACGGACCAGAAUCAUACGGGAGGCAGCAGAAGGGAAACUUCGGCAAUGGAAGAAAGUCUGACCAGGCAACGCCGCAAGAGUGAGGAAGGUGUUCGGAUCGUAAAACUCUGUUGUUAGAGAAGCGGUAACUAACCAGAAAGCCACGGCUAACUACGUGCCAGCAGCCGAGGUAAUUC